GGAGCACGGCCUUCUUAUCGUCAUAGAAGGCCUCCAGUGGAGAAUACUGGCCCGGACACUGCAACUGAUGUCUGCAAGGAAACAGCAACAGGAGGAGAAAAAAUUAGGAAGCUAUUUUUGGACCUUUUUGGCAGACAGGACGGCUGAAGAGAAACAGGAAGUGUUGGGAGGAGAGGGUAGGGGACGACAUGCAGCAAGGAGCUGAGGCCGGAUUCGAACCCUCGGCUGCUGCGCUGAGGACCAUUGCCUCCGUGCUGCCAUCAUAACCACCAGACUAUCGACGUCCCUGAAAUCUGUUUUAAUUCACUGUUCACAUUAGGGAUGUAAUGAUUCAUCACGAGGCAGUAAAAAAAUCGAUUCAAAGGUGUCAAGGUUCACAUCAGAAAAAAUGAAUCGCAAUACUUUUCUUAAACAGCCGAGGACGCUUUCUAUUUAUGCUUCCCUUGUUUGGCGUCCUACGUCACCCACAUCAGACAUGAGCGUCAGGAGAGGCAGUUGGUUGUAGCAAGCAGGCGUUGUCAUGGCAACUGCUGAGCAAGAUUUUGAAAUUAAGGACGCACCACUGUCUUUUAAAUCGGAGGUGUGGAAGCAUUUUGGCUUCCCCAAAGACAGAAAAUGAAAGAUGAGAAGAUAACAGACCAGACAAAAACUGUGUGCAGAUAUUACAAGAAGAUAGAGAACUACACAAACAGCACGACCAACAUGAUGCAGCAUUUAAUCUACACCACAACAACAAGCUCCAAUCACCUCCCCUUGUUGAGAGAAAGAAAACAUUAAAAGGCCAAAGCACACUGACAGCCCCGCUCGCCCAAUCGAGUGCAAGAGGCAACGAGAUUAUGAGGUGAUUUGGUGUUUUCAUGAAAAAAUGAAAGGAAUCUUUUUCAGUCACAAUCUUCAAAACAAUUAUCUUCAGACUCAUUUUGUAAAAUAAAUCGUGAGAGAAUCGUAUAGUGAACCCAAUAUCGAAUGGUGACUGAAUCGUUGCAUCCCGCGUUCACCGACAGUCGGUUUGUCAGCUCAGGAAGAAAGGUUUACUGCUGCUUAAUGAUUUGAGAAUUUGUUUAGUCGACCUUUGACAUUAGAAAUGUUUGACAGUCCCACUUGAACUGAACAAACUCAAAUCAUAGCAAAUAUCUCAUUAAUUAUACACUUCAAACCUCAUUCUUACCUGAGAAGUCCGGAUAAACAUCUUAUUUAAAAAAGCAAAUAAAAUAAGCACAUUAUUUGUUGUGAUCAGUAAAAAUAAUAUAUAUAUAUAUUUUUUACAUGUUUAAUGUCUUGAAAUGAGAUGUACAGUUGGGAAUGAGCUGCAACAUCUCAAACACAUAUUGAUCCUGCUUUGACUGAUGUUUUUUUUUUACUUUUUGAAGAUAAUGCAGGCCUUAUUUUUGCUUCUUGUAUGUUGAAUUAAGAUGUUUAUCCGGACUUAUCAGGCAGAUAAUAAGUGUGACGAGAAAGAAAUUGCAGUGUGGCCUUAAAGCAGACAUCCUCGGCCCUUCACAGUAACUUAAUUGAGCUCAUUAGACAGAUGAGACUGACAUUAAAAGAUAACAAGACUUCUUAGGAUGAUCUUCUCUGGAAAUUUUGUCUUUUCCAGAACCGAGAAUUUUAAUUGAAGGAGAUAAAAGAUUA